GACCACGGUAGGCUCAGCGACUGGGGUGAAGUCGUAACAAGGUAGCCGUAGGGGAACCUGCGGCUGGAUCACCUCCUUUCUAAGG
rnacentral:rRNA from 1 species